rnacentral:piRNA from 1 species
UGGGUGUCAUCUACAACCCGGUGGAUUAUG